rnacentral:rRNA from 1 species
CAGAGCCGCGGUAAUACGUAGGGUGCGAGCGUUAAUCGGAAUUACUGGGCGUAAAGCGUGCGCAGGCGGUUCGUUAAGACAGAUGUGAAAUCCCCGGGCUUAACCUGGGAACUGCAUUUGUGACUGACGGGCUAGAGUAUGGCAGAGGGGGGUAGAAUUCCACGUGUAGCAGUGAAAUGCGUAGAGAUGUGGAGGAAUACCGAUGGCGAAGGCAGCCCCCUGGGCCAAUACUGACGCUCAUGCACGAAAGCGUGGGGAGCAAACAGGAUUAGAUACCCCCGUAGUCCCUGUCUCUUAUACA